GAUGAACGCUGGCGGCGUGCCUAAUACAUGCAAGUAGAACGCUGAAGGAGGAGCUUGCUCUUCUGGAUGAGUUGCGAACGGGUGAGUAACGCGUAGGUAACCUGCCUGUUAGCGGGGGAUAACUAUUGGAAACGAUAGCUAAUACCGCAUGACAACAGUUAUUGCAUGAUAACUGUUUAAAAGGGGCAACUGCUCCACUACCAGAUGGACCUGCGUUGUAUUAGCUAGUUGGUGAGGUAACGGCUCACCAAGGCGACGAUACAUAGCCGACCUGAGAGGGGGAUCGGACAAACUGGGACUGAGACACGGCCCAGAAUCCUACGGGAGGCAGCAGUAGGGAAUCUUCGGCAAUGGACGGAAGUCUGACCGAGCAACGCCGCGUGAGUGAAGAAGGUUUUCGGAUCGUAAAGCUCUGUUGUAAGAGAAGAACGAGUGUGAGAGUGGAAAGUUCACACUGUGACGGUAUCUUACCAGAAAGGGACGGCUAACUACGUG
rnacentral:rRNA from 1 species